rnacentral:rRNA from 1 species
AGUCUGCAACCCGACUACAUGAAGCUGGAAUCGCUAGUAAUCGCGGAUCAGAAUGCCGCGGUGAAUACGUUCCCGGGUCUUGUACACACCGCCCGUCACACCAUGGGAGUCGGAAAUGCCCGAAGUCUGUGACCCAACCUACGGGAGGGAGCAGCCGAAGGCAGGUCGGAUGACUGGGGUGAAGUCGUAACAAGGUAUC